UCACUUAAUUUUUCCUUACCUCUCUCAAAUCCUCUUCCUAUUCUCUUUCCUAUACUUGUCUUAAAAACUCUUGACUUGUCUUAACUAAAAAGACUUAUCUUAACUAAAAAAGACUUAUCUUAAUAAGAGAAGGAAGAGAAUUGGAGUUGACUUGGAUAAAUGGGACUCUCGGAUGAAUCUUAUUUAUAAUUAGAGAGAAGGUGCCACUUAAACAACACAUCCCA
rnacentral:lncRNA from 1 species